UCCUCAUGCUUGUGUAGGAGGCACAUUACUGACCGAACCAUCUUCCCAUCCCUGGGCGCUAUUUGCAUUGCAGGAACAAUGUGCUGGAAGCCAACUGUGGGGAAAAAAAUGGAAGUCUAUACAUUUUAGGAGGGUUGGCUUUUUUUAAUUGACUACUGAAAUACUACCUGGCUGAAAGUGCUUGUCUUUGCCUAGCCAUAGAACAACCUCCCCCCCCCACACACACACACCCACACACAACCCUUUUUGGUAAAUGAGGACACUAGAAUAACAUCUAAGAUACUUUCCAGGUCAUAAUAUCUUAGAUGGUUAGGAAAAUCUAAGCAUUGCUUUUGGUGUGUGUAUUCUAGACAAAUCCUUCAAAUUCACAUCCCAGGGCAGAUUUCCAGCUAAGGGCACAUAGCCUGAUGCUUUGGUCUCUCUUAAUUCUUUUAGGUGUUUUCUGGAGUUUUGACAGUACACUCUGAGAGGCAGCCACCAUGAGACUGUACCUUCUGAAUGGUCAGCGUUUUCCUCAGUCAGAUUUUUACUUAAAUCACUUGACAGCUUCCCUUAACAGCAGAACAGCUCGCUCUGCUUAGAAAACCUGGGCUCAACAGUUUACAGACUAUCACCAGCCUGUGUACAUAAAUGAUGUGCAUGUCUUGAAUAACCAUUACUGCAGACACAGAGGAAGCACACUCAAGGGAUUUAAUGAAAGAAGAGUGGAAAAUUCUAGCUAAAACUAAAUAUUUCUUGUUCGAAGCAGUUUUGCUUUAAAAUACUGUUGUUCAUUCCUUGUAAUGCUCCUGUUUGUAACACAGACUUUAUCAUAUAGUAUUGAUCUUGUUAAAAACCAGUCACCCCAGCCUUUUUUAUGAAACUUCCUUUAUUUAAACAUGGUAUGUUAGAGAAAAUACAUGCUUUGUGAUAUUUAAAGGGAAGUAAGAUUUUACUUGGCCAAUCAACCUUUAUUGAAUUCCAUUUCUACAGCACGAUGCAAAGAUAAGUAACUGGUAGUAUAUGUGAAUCUCUCUCUUCCCCUCCUCUCUCUCUCUCUCUCUCUCUCUCUCUCUCUCUCUCUCUCUCUCAUAUCACUCUCUAAAUUUGACCAAGCUCAUGGUGGGAAACAUUGUGAAGAAGGAAGCAGAAACAACUGUUAUAAAAUGUUGGAGAGGAUGAAAGCCAUUAGUGACCUGCAGUUACGUGGAACCCUCGGAGGAUACAUGGGACAAGAAGCCUGGUGGGUGGGGCCCAGCUUCAGAGGGGACUAGCUGGAACCUCAUCAUUGGCUGGAGGAUGAGGAAGGGUGUUUUGGGCCAAAAGGCAAAGCAAGAUGAAAAUGCUGGGCAUGGUUCCUAGGCUGAGGCUGUCACCUAACGAACAGGGAGCGACGGCGACAGGCUGAGCAGAAGGCUACUGGUGCAGGAUUUGUACCAUGUGUCCACCUUAUUUUCUUAUGAAGUAAUGAUAAAUAGCUGCUGCUGCACUCUGCCUCCUCCUCCUCCUCCUCCUCCCCCUCCUCCUCCUCUUCAUCUUCCCCCUCCUCCUUUUUGUCCUCCCCCUCAUUUCCUCCUCUUCCUCCUUCCUCUGCUGCUAUGGAACUCAGAUGCCACUCCCAAAACAACCACACAGUUUUGGCGCAUACAGACUAUUCAAUACACUUCUUUAUCUUCACUUACAUCUUCCGGGUGGAGACUUUUCAAGCAAUUUUCUUACCCAUGUUCAGGGCCGUAGACACCCAAUAAAAUUAGCACCAUCACUUAAGUGUGGAAAUCUUGUCUAAUCUCCAUCCCCUGGCUCCACAUUCAAUCUUCUUUCUCCUUGGCAUGUGCCUUUAUGUCAGGAUCUGUCUUCUCAUUCUAAACAAAGCUCUUCAGACAUAUACUCAUUGUCUCUCCCACUAUCCUGUAGACAGAGUCCCUGCCAUGCAGUGACAAGGGCUGGCUACUUACCUGCCAUGUGGCCUGGCCCAGGCUUCUGGCCAAACCUCAGCACUCCCAGGACCCUUUUUUUUAUCAGAGAAGGAUAAUGACAAAUUUCUUGUUCCUUUAGACUUCUAGUCUUAUACUUAUAUACAUACAUAUAUAUGUAUAUAUAGAUACAUAUAUACAUAUGUGAAUGUGUAUAUAUAUGUGUGUGUAUACACACACACACAAACACACACACUGGGCUGAGUGGAGCAACAAUAUCAUCCUGUUAUUAAAAGGUUAAUAAAUAUAAUGCAAUGGUCUUUACUUUUCUUGUAUGGACACAGGAAGGGAAACUGAUGGACAGGUCUAAGACAGACUGAGGAAAUCAACUCAAGAUAAUUAAAGUAUC
ensembl:sense_intronic